ensembl:snRNA U1 U1 spliceosomal RNA
AUAUUUACCUGGCAGGAGAGAUAUCAUGACCACAAAAGUGGUUUUCCCAGGGUGAUGCUUAUCCAUGGCACUCUGGAUAUGCCGGCCUCUGUGAUUUCCCAAGCAUGACCCGAGUUUGAUUCCUCCAUC